AACUUAACACAAAAUUUUCUAUAUUCUAAAGUGAUCAAAUAAUUUUCUAUCUGUUACAUUGGAAGGAGGAGAAUCAUGACCAAAACUAUCAUGUUUGUUUAUAUAAUGAUCCUAUUUAUUUUCACAUUUCAUGUUGUAUCAGAAUUUGUUUCUUUUCAUAUUUGUAAAUUUGACAUAAACUGUCCAUGGCAAAGUUGUUCUCCAGGAAAUAUUCCGGCAUGUAUUUUUGGAGUGUGCUACUGCGUUCAGAGUUAUUUUCCUCAUGUUCAUUAAAAUUAAUUGAUGGUGCUUCGCAUUUGAGAUCAAAGUAUUGGCUUAUACACAACUUUAUUUUUCAUUUUUUUAGUAUCUUUUGUUUAAUUCUAUUGUUUAUUGGGAUAUUUGUACAACAGUAAUAGAGUGAUAUUGGAGUGGUCGAGAUCUUUUUAUUCUUAUUUGUUUAAUUCUUAAGUUUGCAAACUUCUGAGCUAAGGCAUUAUGUUUUAGAAAUGUGAAAAGACAAUGUGUAUCAAAUUUUGAGUUGUGACAUCAUGUUUUGGAAAUGUGAAAAGUUAAUGUGUAUCAAAUUUUAA